rnacentral:rRNA from 1 species
GAUGAACGCUGGCGGCGUGCUUAACACAUGCAAGUCGAACGGGAAAUAUUUCAUUGAGACUUCGGUGGAUUUGAUCUAUUUCUAGUGGCGGACGGGUGAGUAACGCGUGGGUAACCUGCCUUAUACAGGGGGAUAACAGUCAGAAAUGGCUGCUAAUACCGCAUAAGCGCACAGAGCUGCAUGGCUCAGUGUGAAAAACUCCGGUGGUAUAAGAUGGACCCGCGUUGGAUUAGCUUGUUGGCGGGGUAACGGCCCACCAAGGCGACGAUCCAUAGCCGGCCUGAGAGGGUGAACGGCCACAUUGGGACUGAGACACGGCCCAGACUCCAACGGGAGGCAGCAGUGGGGAAUAUUGCACAAUGGGGGAAACCCUGAUGCAGCGACGCCGCGUGAAGGAAGAAGUAUCUCGGUAUGUAAACUUCUAUCAGCAGGGAAGAUAGUGACGGUACCUGACUAAGAAGCCCCGGCUAACUACGUGCCAGCAGCCGCGGUAAUACGUAGGGGGCAAGCGUUAUCCGGAUUUACUGGGUGUAAAGGGAGCGUAGACGGUGUGGCAAGUCUGAUGUGAAAGGCAUGGGCUCAACCUGUGGACUGCAUUGGAAACUGUCAUACUUGAGUGCCGGAGGGGUAAGCGGAAUUCCUAGUGUAGCGGUGAAAUGCGUAGAUAUUAGGAGGAACACCAGUGGCGAAGGCGGCUUACUGGACGGUAACUGACGUUGAGGCUCGAAAGCGUGGGGAGCAAACAGGAUUAGAUACCCUGGUAGUCCACGCCGUAAAC